rnacentral:rRNA from 1 species
GGAAUAUUGGACAAUGGGCGCAAGCCUGAUCCAGCCAUGCCGCGUGUGUGAAGAGGGCCUUCGGGUUGUAAAGCACUUUUGUACGGGAAGAAAAGCACUCGGUUAAUACCCGGGUGUCAUGACGGUACCGUAAGAAUAAGCACCGGCUAACUUCGUGCCAGCCGCCGCGGUAAUACGAAGGGUGCAAGCGUUACUCGGAAUUACUGGGCGUAAAGCGUGCGUAGGUGGUUUGUUAAGUCUGAUGUGAAAGCCCUGGGCUCAACCUGGGAAUUGCAUUAGAUACUGGCAGUCUAGAGUGCGGUAGAGGGUAGCGGAAUUCCCGGUGUAGCAGUGAAAUGCGUAGAUAUCGGGAGGAACAUCCGUGGCGAAGGCGGCAUCCUGGACCGGCACUGACGCUGAGGAGCGAAAGCCAGGGGAGCAAAC